rnacentral:rRNA from 1 species
GACAGAGGGGGCAAGCGUUGCUCGGAAUUACUGGGCGUAAAGGGCGCGUAGGCGGGAUGGCAAGUCGGUCGUGAAAUCCCUCGGCUCAACCGAGGAACGUCGAUCGAUACUGCUGUUCUUGAGGAUUGCAGAGGAGACUGGAAUUCCCGGUGUAGCGGUGAAAUGUGUAGAGAUCGGGAGGAAUACCGGUGGCGAAGGCGGCAUCCUGGACCGACAUUGACGCUGAGGAGCGAAAGCCAGGGGAGCCAAAGCGGG